AAAAGGUUGCUUUAUGCUCUCGAGCAACCUGUACUAACGUACGUCAGGCUUUUAAUUCUGUAUAAUGGAAUUACGUUUUAUCUCUGUUGGUGUUUUCUUUAGGGGGAGAAGUUUCGGAACCCAAGCAGAGAAGUUAAAGGUGUCGCGUUUUUGGUGGUGGUUUUGCACCGAUGCUUACUUUUAAACAUACACCCAUCUGUAGAAUUGGUGGUGUAUGUACAGCGGCGCUUUGGGUUUUCGUGUGGAGAGGCACAGAAAAGUUACACUCGGGAGAGUCCUGACAUUGAAGGAUGUUCCCUCCACACUCCGGUCCCUUGUGGAAGGGAUUGCACAACACGCUAACCAGAAAGCUUAAAAAAAAAAAAAAAAAAAAGGGCAAAAAUAAGCUCUGAAUUCUUAUUGUUUAUUACCGCUUACUAAACCAUGAGAUGUGCCCCUACCGUGUUGUGUUGUUUCAAGCUGUCUCCGUGGGUAGUCGGAAGAGAAAACGUGAUUUCUUAAUCUGUUGGGACAUUAUCUACGUGCAGUUUGAAAAAGUGGUAAUGGCCUGGGUUUGAGUGGCCAGGGAUGCCUCUCCCGGGGAAUUCAGCCUGGCGGGGGGAGUGUUUUUUUUGUUGUAAGGAGACAUGCCCUUUCUGAUUCAGCAAGAGCUGUUUCCAUGUUUUCUCCUAUAGCAAACUGAACAUUUCUCUUGGAAAAAAAAGAAAAGAAAA